CAGCAGCCGCGGGAAUACGAAGGGGGCUAGCGUUGUUCGGAUUUACUGGGCGUAAAGCGCACGUAGGCGGAUCCUUAAGUCAGAGGUGAAAUCCCAAGGCUCAACCUUGGAACUGCCUUUGAUACUGGGGAUCUCGAGUUCGGGAGAGGUGAGUGGAACUGCGAGUGUAGAGGUGAAAUUCGUAGAUAUUCGCAAGAACACCAGUGGCGAAGGCGGCUCACUGGCCCGAUACUGACGCUCAUGCACGAAAGCGUGGGGAGCAAACAGGAUUAGAUACCCCCGUAGUCCCUGUCUCUUAUAC
rnacentral:rRNA from 1 species